rnacentral:rRNA from 1 species
CCUACGGGAGGCAGCAGUGGGGAAUCUUGCGCAAUGGGCGAAAGCCUGACGCAGCAACGCCGCGUGCGGGAAGAAGGCUUUCGGGCUGUAAACCGCUUUCAGCAGGAACGAAAAUGACGGUACCUGCAGAAGAAGGAGCGGCCAACUAUGUGCCAGCAGCCGCGGUGAUACAUAGGCUUCAAGCGUUGUCCGGAUUUAUUGGGCGUAAAGAGUUCGUAGGCGGUCGAGUAAGUCGGGUGUGAAAAUUCUGGGCUCAACCCAGAGACGCCACCCGAUACUGCUUGACUUGAGUUCGAUAGGGGAGUGGGGAAUUCCUAGUGUAGCGGUGAAAUGCGCAGAUAUUAGGAGGAACACCGGUGGCGAAGGCGCCACUCUGGAUCGAUACUGACGCUGAGGAACGAAAGCAUGGGUAGCAAACAGGAUUAGAUACCCUGGUAGUCCAUGCCGUAAACGGUGGGCACUAGGUGUGGGUUUCUAUUAACGAAAUCCGCGCCGUCGCUAACGCAUUAAGUGCCCCGCCUGGGGAAUCGGUCGCAAGCUAAAACUCAAAGGAAUUGACCGGNGNGAGAGNGCGAGCGACACGAGGAGAG